CCUGGGGUACCUCAGCGGCAGAGGACCUGGCUGGGACCGGGCUGGCGCAGGUUCGAGUCCUGCCCCCAGGC
rnacentral:tRNA from 1 species